CUCACUCAGCAAACACGCAGCUCGCUCUCGCCAUGCACCUCGCCUCUCUCAUCCUCACCCUCUUCCUGGGCCAGCUCCUGGGCACCACAGGGCAGAUCACGGUCACCCAGGACGAUGGACAAGUCAUGGUGAAGCAGGGACACCCCUUCCAGACCACCUGCAAAUACCAGACCAGUGUUUUGAGGGGAUUAUUCUGGUACCAGCUGCGGAAAGGCCAAGCCCCACAGCUGCUCUCCUAUCAAGCAGGCUCUGGCCCCAAGCACAGCGGCCGGAUCACCACGCACCUCAACACCACGGGGAAAUACAGUGUCCUGAAGGUGGAGGAAGUGCAGCUCUCUGACUCUGCCUUGUACCUCUGUGCUGUGACAGACACCCCGGGACAGGGAGCGUCCCCGGCUCACAGAGCAGCAGCGUCCCAGGCUCAGAAGGAGCCCGAGUGCAGCUGA